rnacentral:rRNA from 1 species
UACGGAGGGUGCAAACGUUGCUCGGAAUCAUUGGGCGUAAAGCGCACGUAGGCGGCACGUUAAGUCGGGUGUGAAAGCCCUGGGCUCAACCCAGGAAGAGCACUCGAAACUGGCGAGCUGGAGUAUGGAAGAGGGUCGCGGAAUUCCCGGUGUAGAGGUGAAAUUCGUAGAUAUCGGGAGGAACACCAGUGGCGAAGGCGGCGACCUGGGCCAAUACUGACGCUGAGGUGCGAAAGCGUGGGGAGCAAACAGG